rnacentral:rRNA from 1 species
AUGGCAUUCUUGUGCUUCAAUCCUACGACCGCGCACGUUGGAAACUUGGAAUCAUAUCUCCCUGGUUUCAAAAAGAAAGUAAUCGUACCUCCCAAAUUGGUGUUGAAUUCCAAAAGAUGUUGCGUGAAGGGGAGUAGAACGUUUUGUGCGUGUACAGCUUUACGGUUUUUGCUCCUCCGAAAUUCCUCCCGUUCCAACCCGCUUUCGUGCACCCCGAUUCAGCCCGCAAGUCAGAGAGAGGUGGGUCCAGAGACAGCGGCGGCACACACGACCGGACGUCCGGCGCGCUCGGCAGGACCGGACUGGACACAAGCAGGAGCAGCGAGGGAGCGGUGGCAUCUGGCGGGCAGCCCCGCCGUUCGUUCAGAGAGAGCAGCGGCACGCACGACCGGACGGACGGGGCGAAGGAACCCGUGA